rnacentral:rRNA from 3 species
AGACUUUAAUUGAAGAGUUUGAUCAUGGCUCAGAUUGAACGCUGGCGGCAGGCCUAACACAUGCAAGUCGAACGGUAACAGGAAGCAGCUUGCUGCUUCGCUGACGAGUGGCGGACGGG